UAGCUCAGUCAGUAAAGUAUCUGCCUGCAAUGCAGGAGACCAGGGUUCGAUCCCUG
rnacentral:tRNA from 1 species